UAGGGAAGCUGGCUGCCAUGUUGUAAGAGCAUUCAAGUAGACCUAUAGAGAGGUGUGGUAAGGAACUGAGGCCUCCAGUCAACAGCCAUCUUGUGAGUGAACCAUCUAGAAAACAGAUCAGCCAAGCCAAGUCCAGACAGCUCAAUGCAAUCUCAUGAAAGAUACCAAGGUGGAGCCCUGUGCUAAUGAGGAAAGCAGGGUGUCAGAAUACUGCUCUCCUCUGAUAGAAAGCACCCUGCUGAUCGCUGUACCUGGACAGAGCCCAGCGCUGUGCACACAGAAACAUCUUGAUCUCACACACCAGCUCUGCAAUGGGUUCUUUUUGUCCAGUAAUGAACAUGAGAGACUUCCUCAAGUUCUCAGGGGUCCCGGGUGAAAACACACCUCCCACAUCCUGGAGGCUGACGAGGACACGAAGAGCUAGAGACCCCACUAACAGACUCACUUAGCUAUUUCUGCAGAAGCCUGGACUCAAGGUCAACUGAUAUGGUUCCAGCCUAGGAACAAGCAAGGCCCGGCAUUCCUUACUCGAGAUUACAAGCCCAAGACCCCCUCCAGUUUAUACUGGCUCUCAGAGCAAGCCCAUAACCCCUCUCCUCAUCUGAAGAUAACCUCCUGACAUCAGGGGCUGAAUUCUGCCUCCUUCCAGAGUUAAGUCUCCACCUCAAGGGAACAUGGGGUAUAUGUUACAAUAAAUGUUUGCUCAAUGAA